rnacentral:misc_RNA from 1 species
AACGCACAUUGCGCCCUUUGGUAUUCCGAAGGGCAUGCCUGUUCGAGCGUCAUUAUCACCCCUCAAGCCCCCCGGGCUUGGUGUUGGACGGUUUGGUGGGAAGGAUCAUACCUCCACCCCUCCUAAAGACAAUGACGGCGGCCUCGUGGGACCCCCGGUACACUGAGCUUCUUAACUGUAGCACGUAUCGGAUUUAGGGCACCCGGGACCCGGUCUCCCAUCCCCUUUAACCGGGAUGGACCCCCCUUUCUCAAGGUUGACCUCGGAUCAGGUAGGAAUACCCGCUGAACUUAA